rnacentral:rRNA from 1 species
AUGUCUCGAGCACACCACUCCCACACACCCUCACAAGAGCGGCACAACCAAUCUCUGAGUGCCACUGACACACAUGCAUGGAGCGCUCACUCCAAGCCUGACUAUACACAUUCCCACAGUAGCCGAAUUCAAAGAGAAUCAACGGGGCAUCAUCCACUGCUUUCUCAGGGUCCUAUUCAUCAUGAAAUCAUAGACCAAGAUAUUCCUCCCAUCCAUGUUUUAGGGAAAGGAUUUUUCUCAAUGUUCCUCUCAUCUUCAUGGUAA